ensembl:lncRNA
CAUGGAGCCGCUGCACUUCCCUUUGUCCCGCAGAUUUGUUUUUGUCCAUCCUGGCUGAACUUUCUAGCGUGACACUAAUAAGUCCAUAGCAUCAUAUAUGCGGCUUAGCAGGGCGCAGGGGGCAUAUCCUAACAAAUGUGCGGAGUCAAUUGGUUUCCCAAGGGGACGCUACUGAGAAGCUGGCUCACCAAGUCCCGACCUAGACUGCUGCUGCUCAUCGCCGGCUUGAAGAGGCCUCAAGUCACCCUCAUGCGCAGGAAAAGGAUGAAACGCACAAAAGUAGCAAAGGCCACGUAAGCGAACCUGUAGUCAUAUGCCGCAUUUCACUUGAGUUGCUGCCACAGAGAGAAGCUCCAUCUGCGGUCAACAUGAAUGCAGAUCCAGAAACAGAGAAAGCAUCUCAGUCGUCUCUGCCAAACAUACGAACUAAACGCCAAAGCAGAAGCAGAAGAGGCUCAGAGUUUGUUGUGAAUAUGAUGGAUCUACCACAAAGAACCAGACCCCCCGACUAAGAUCCAGAGCCUCCCAGUGACAUUUGUUCAUCUUUCUCUUAAAUACACUUCUGUCAUGCUUCAAUUCACUACACAGCGUGUGACAGCACAUUAUUGCUAUUGCCUUUGGUUGACAGUGCUUUCCUUUCCUGUGUUCCUGUGUUCAGAGACAAUCCUCUGGUCAGGAUUUCAGGGACUUUUAUUUUUCGAUUCCUAAUGAUGCGUGUGGGUGAAAAAGAUGAAGAAAAAUAAUGAAAAAAAGAAAGAAAAACGUAUAAAUGCCAUGAGCUAGUUAACCAACAGCACACCAGUGGUUUUUUCAUACUGUUGAGUCGUCAGACUGACAGCUGACGGUCCAUUAUUAUGUCCUGAGGAGUAAAAUAAUUCAUUUAAAUGUAAAUAUCCAAUGAAAAAAAAAAAAUAUGAUAGUCAUAUUAUUCCAAAUGGGCCAUUAUGUGAUCCUAUUAUCAUUUAACCAAAAAAUUUCAUAGAAACAUGAUUGAGUAUUUUUUUAAAAAAAGUAAUUAAUUAAUUAAUUAAAAUAAUAAUAAUAAAAAAUCAAGCAGCUAUUUGACA